rnacentral:lncRNA from 1 species
UUGCAGCUUCUGCUCUGUGAAUUCUAUAAAGGUAAUUAACGGGAAGAUCAAAUAUGAUGGUGCAUGGGGAAGCCAUAUGUAAUCUGGAAGACAAUUUAGGCACAACUACUCAGUCUGGAGUCGAGGGAGAGAGGACUUGGGAAGCCGGUCUGACCCCAACGGAUACCUCUACUCGACUGACCGGUCAACAGACGGAGUGCCUUUUACUUAACACUCAGCAUCAGGGACGUGUAUUACACGGACUGCAAAUACACGGACUGCCAUUGUCCCAUUUUCCCAGAGCGGGCUUGAGGUCAGGUAUGUGUGAUUCUUUGGAGUAAAUGUGUCAUAAACUAAAACAUAAUAAUUAUGUGCACAUGUAUACAGUUCAGCCCCAAGAGAUGCGAUGCAGCUGAACUUACGCUUUCAAGGGCAGUUGGAGCAAAGUGACCUCAAACUAGGAAUUAAGAUGCACAGAAGGUCUUUGACUGCAUUUACGUAGUAUGCCUCAAACUGCUCUAUUCAGUCACAUCUAUGGCUCUGAUUCAAAUUGCAAAUUAUCUCAAUAAAUACCUGGCUACACUGGGGAAGCA